AAAUUUUGAAAUUUUAAACUUCUGAACAGCAGAACACCACCACCUGCACAACACGGCAUACAGACGUGAAAAUGUCAGAGUACAAACACUGGUACCACUGCACUAUUCAUAGGGUCUGUUCCCUUAGAAUUGUGGGUAAUACUAUCCUUGUCAGUAUGAUGCAGCCAAUAAAUAGAAGUUUCUUUAUGCGGCUACAUAAUU